CCUGCCCUAUAGGUGUUGCGGUUGUAGCUGCUGUGUCACAUGCACAUCAGUAGGUGACAAAGAGGAGAAGGCUAUGUCUACGCAUAGUGUUCUCACCUAUGAACAGAUGAAUGAUAAGUAGCCUACCAUU